rnacentral:rRNA from 1 species
UACAGAGGUCUCGAGCGUUGUUCGGAUUCAUUGGGCGUAAAGGGUGCGUAGGUGGCGCCGUAAGUCGGGUGUGAAAUUUCGGAGCUUAACUCCGAAACUGCAUUCGAUACUGCGGUGCUUGAGGACUGGAGAGGAGACUGGAAUUCAUGGUGUAGCAGUGAAAUACGUAGAGAUUGGGAAGAACACCAGUGGCGAAGGCGGCUAUCUGGACGGUUUCUGACGCUAAGACGCGAAAGCGUGGGGAGCAAACAGG